GGCCAGUUGACUUGCGAUUGUGUUCGAUAUGACUUUUAUGAUAUCGGCCGGGUCGGUUCGUCGAUGUCGGAGCCCCCCUUUUCGGACGGGGACGACCCGACGACCGCCCGCGUCGUACCUGGCUCGCUGGGAACCUUUUGCUUUUACUUCGUCGGAGCUUCUUCUAUCUUUGAAAUAUAAUGCUUCUCUCCUCAGUCGGAGUUGCUUCUCUCAGUCGGAGUUGCUUCUCUCGUCGGAGUUGCUUCUCUCCUUUGAAAUAUAAUUCGUUGUUUUAUAUCGUUUGCUCCGGAUGACGUAACGAUGUUUAUUAUAGCUUCC
rnacentral:lncRNA from 1 species